rnacentral:rRNA from 1 species
CCUACGGGAGGCAGCAGUGAGGAAUAUUGGUCAAUGGGCGAGAGCCUGAACCAGCCAAGUCGCGUGAGGGAAGACGGUCCUACGGAUUGUAAACCUCUUUUGUCAGGGAGCAAGGAGCGCCACGAGUGGUGCGGCGAGAGUACCUGAAGAAAAAGCAUCGGCUAACUCCGUGCCAGCAGCCGCGGUAAUACGGAGGAUGCGAGCGUUAUCCGGAUUUAUUGGGUUUAAAGGGUGCGCAGGCGGGCUGUUAAGCCGGCGGUAAAAAUUCAGGGCUCAACCCUGUCGAGCCGUCGGAACUGGCAGUCUUGAGUGGGCGAGAAGUAUGCGGAAUGCGUGGUGUAGCGGUGAAAUGCAUAGAUAUCACGCAGAACGCCGAUUGCGAAGGCAGCAUACCGGCGCCCAACUGACGCUGAGGCACGAAAGCGUGGGGAUCGAACAGGAUUAGAUACCCUUGUAGUC